AAUUGUUAAUUUUUUAUAAUUAAUACUUCACUGUUUAAUGAUAAUUUAUUGUAAAAUUUUUUAUUAUUUCGAAAAAAUCACAAUUACAAACGAUCAGACAUAGUUUAUCGUGCCGUUUGCAUUUAAUCUUUCUUCAUACAUAUUUGUAAGAAAUUUUGACACAUAACUACAAUUUUUUUAUCGAAAAUAUAACUUCAUUUCGUAGAUAUAGAUCAUUAGAUGAUUGCUGCAACGACUUAGAAGAUGGAAAAAGAAUUAUCAAAUAUAGACGCCAUGAUAAUUGAUGUUUUAGAGAUUAAAGCACAAAGUUAUCCGGCAGUCAGUUUGGCAGUGAUCAACAGUUGAUGGAUGCCUUCUUCACCGCGGCCAGAGUAGCACUGAUAUGAACAGACACAUCGAUA